rnacentral:rRNA from 1 species
UACGAAGGGAGCGAGCGUUGUUCGGAAUCACUGGGCUUAAAGCGUGCGUAGGCGGAUUCGUAAGUCAGAAGUGAAAUCCCGGGGCUUAACCCCGGAACUGCUUUUGAGACUGCGAGUCUUGAAUUCGGUAGAGGUUAGUGGAAUGUCCAGUGUAGAGGUGAAAUUCGCAGAUAUUGGACGGAACACCAGUGGCGAAGGCGACUAACUGGACCGAUAUUGACGCUGAGGCACGAAAGCGUGGGUAGCAAACAGG